AGAGUUUGAUCCUGGCUCAGAAUGAACGCUGGCGGCGUGCUUAACACAUGCAAGUCGAACGGAAAGGCCCUUUCGGGGGUACUCGAGUGGCGAACGGGUGAGUAACACGUGGGUGAUCUGCCCUGCACUUCGGGAUAAGCUUGGGAAACUGGGUCUAAUACCGGAUAGGACUACGAAUCGCAUGGUUUGUGGUGGAAAGCUUUUGCGGUGUGGGAUGGGCCCGCGGCCUAUCAGCUUGUUGGUGGGGUGAUGGCCUACCAAGGCGACGACGGGUAGCCGGCCUGAGAGGGUGUCCGGCCACACUGGGACUGAGAUACGGCCCAGACUCCUACGGGAGGCAGCAGUGGGGAAUAUUGCACAAUGGGCGCAAGCCUGAUGCAGCGACGCCGCGUGGGGGAUGACGGCCUUCGGGUUGUAAACCUCUUUCACCAUCGGCGAAGCCCAUGAUUUUUGUUGUGGGUGACGGUAGGUGGAGAAGAAGCACCGGCCAACUACGUGCCAGCAGCCGCGGUAAUAC
rnacentral:rRNA from 1 species